GACGAACGCUGGCGGCGUGCCUAAUACAUGCAAGUCGAGCGAAUCAGUAGGAGCUUGCUCCUAUUGGUUAGCGGCGGACGGGUGAGUAACACGUGGGCAACCUGCCUGUAAGACUGGGAUAACACCGGGAAACCGGUGCUAAUACCGGAUAAUCCUUUUCCUCUCAUGAGGGAAAGCUGAAAGUCGGUUUCGGCUGACACUUACAGAUGGGCCCGCGGCGCAUUAGCUAGUUGGUGAGGUAACGGCUCACCAAGGCGACGAUGCGUAGCCGACCUGAGAGGGUGAUCGGCCACACUGGGACUGAGACACGGCCCAGACUCCUACGGGAGGCAGCAGUAGGGAAUCUUCCACAAUGGACGAAAGUCUGAUGGAGCAACGCCGCGUGAGCGAUGAAGGCCUUCGGGUCGUAAAGCUCUGUUGUUAGGGAAGAACAAGUACCGGAGUAACUGCCGGUACCUUGACGGUACCUAACCAGAAAGCCACGGCUAACUACGUGCCAGCAGCCGCGGUAAAAC
rnacentral:rRNA from 1 species